rnacentral:rRNA from 1 species
CCUACGGGAGGCAGCAGUGAUUAAUAUUUUUCAAUUUUCUUUAUCCUGAACCAGCCACGUCGCGUGAGGGAAGACGGUCCUAUGGAUUGUAAACCUCUUUAGGCGGGGAGCAAUGCCGGGCACGCGUGCCCGGAGGGAGAGUACCCGCAGAAUAAGCAUCGGCUAACUCCGUGCCAGCAGCCGCGGUAAUACGGAAGAUGCGAGCGUUAUCCGGAUUUAUUGGGUUUAAAGGGUGCGUAGGCGGAUUUUUAAGUCAGCGGUAAAAUGUCCGGGCUCAACCCGGGCCGGCCGUUGAAACUGGGGAUCUUGAGUGGGCGAGAAGUAUGCGGAAUGCGUGGUGUAGCGGUGAAAUGCAUAGAUAUCACGCAGAACUCCGAUUGCGAAGGCAGCAUACCGGCGCCCGACUGACGCUGAGGCACGAAAGCGUGGGGAUCGAACAGGAUUAGAUACCCUGGUAGUC